CCUACGGGAGGCAGCAGUGAGGAAUAUUGGACAAUGGGCGCAAGCCUGAUCCAGCCAUGCCGCGUGCAGGAAGAAGCAUCUAUGGUGUGUAAACUGCUUUUGUACAGGAAGAAACACUCCCUCGUGAGGGAGCUUGACGGUACUGUAAGAAUAAGGACCGGCUAACUCCGUGCCAGCAGCCGCGGUAAUACGGAGGGUCCGAGCGUUAUCCGGAAUCAUUGGGUUUAAAGGGUCCGUAGGCGGUUUAAUAAGUCAGUGGUGAAAUCUGGUCGCUCAACGAUCAAACGGCCAUUGAUACUGUUAGACUUGAAUUAUAAGGAAGUAACUAGAAUAUGUAGUGUAGCGGUGAAAUGCUUAGAUAUUACAUGGAAUACCAAUUGCGAAGGCAGGUUACUACUUAUGGAUUGACGCUGAUGGACGAAAGCGUGGGGAGCGAACAGGAUUAGAUACCCUGGUAGUCCACGCCGUAAACGAUGGAUACUAGCUGUUCGGAGCAAUNUNAGUGNGUAGAGAAGUAGAUAAGUAUACCACCGUCGGUAGGUACGUUCGUCGAAGAAGAGAACGUAACGAAAGAAAGUUAGUACGGACGUGAGACGUAGACGACGGACGACGACGAGGGAGGAGGAG
rnacentral:rRNA from 1 species